rnacentral:rRNA from 1 species
UUCCUACGGGAGGCAGCAGUGGGGAAUAUUGGGCAAUGGGCGCAAGCCUGACCCAGCAACGCCGCGUGAAGGAAGAAGGCUUUCGGGUUGUAAACUUCUUUUCCUAGUGAAGAAGCAAGUGACGGUAGCUAAGGAAUAAGCAUCGGCUAACUACGUGCCAGCAGCCGCGGUAAUACGUAGGAUGCGAGCGUUAUCCGGAAUUACUGGGUGUAAAGGGAGCGCAGGCGGGACUGCAAGUUGGAUGUGAAAUACCGCAGCUUAACUGCGGAGCUGCAUCCAAAA